rnacentral:rRNA from 1 species
GUGCCAGCAGCCGCGGUAAUACGUAGGAUGCAAGCGUUAAUCGGAAUUACUGGACGUAAAGCGUGCGCAGGCGGUUUGUUAAGUUGGGUGUGAAAUCCCCGGGCUCAACCUGGGAACUGCAUUCAAAACUGACUGACUAGAGUAUGGUAGAGGGUGGUGGAAUUUCCUGUGUAGCGGCGAAAUGCGUAGAUAUAGGAAGGAACACCAGUGGCGAAGGCGACCACCUGGACUCAAACUGACGCUGAGGUACGAAAGCGUGGGUAGCAAACAGGAUUAGGUACCCUGGUAGUCCACGCCGUAA